AGGACAAACGCUGGCGGCGUGCCUAAGACAUGCAAGUCGGACGGGAGGCUUCGGCCUCUAGUGGCGGACGGGUGAGGAACGCGUGGAGAACCUGCCCCGGGGUGGGGGAUACCCGCCAGAAAUGGCGAUUAAGACCGCAUACGACUAUCUCGCGCAGGCGGGAGAGGGAAAGCAGUGAUGCGCCCUGGGAGGGCUCCGCGUCGGAUUAGCUAGUUGGUGGGGUAACGGCCUACCAAGGCUUCGAUCCGUAGCUGGUCUGAGAGGACGGCCAGCCACACUGGGACUGAGACACGGCCCAGACUCCUACGGGAGGCAGCAGUUAGGAAUUUUGACAAUGGGCGCAAGCCUGAUCGAGUGACGCCGCGUGCGGGAUGACGCCGUUUCGGGUGUAAACCUCUGUUGCCCGGGACGAAUAGCGGAUUUUCCGACUUGACGGUACCGGGUGAGGAGCACCGGCUAACUCCGUGCCAGCAGCCGC
rnacentral:rRNA from 1 species